rnacentral:tRNA from 1 species
GGCAAGGUAGCUCAGGCGGUUAGAGCGCAGCUCUCAUAAGGCUGAAGUCGAGGGUUCGAGUCCCUCUCUUGCUA